GUAGUUACCAGUGUAGUAGUAGUGGUGUUCUGUCUCCAGUAGUUACCAGUGUAGUAGUAGUGGUGUUCUGUCUCCAGUAGUUACCAGUGUAGUAGUAGUGGUGUUCUGUCUCCAGUAGUUACCAGUGUAGUGGUGUUCUGUCUCCAGUAGUUACCAGUGUAGUAGUAGUGGUGUUCUGUCUCCAGUAGUUACCAGUGUAGUAGUAGUGGUGUUCUGUCUCCAGUAGUUACCAGUGUAGUAGUAUUGGUGUUCUGUCUCCAGUAGUUACCAGUGUAGUGGUGUUCUGUCUCCAGUAGUUACCAGUGUAGUAGUAGUGGUGUUCUGUCUCCAGUAGUUACCAGUGUAGUAGUAGUGGUGUUCUGUCUCCAGUAGUUACCAGUGUAGUGGUGUUCUGUCUCCAGUAGUUACCAGUGUAGUGGUGUUCUGUCUCCAGUAGUUACCAGUGUCGUAGUAUUGGUGUUCUGUCUCCAGUAGUUACCAGUGUAGUGGUGUUCUGUCUCCAGUAGUUACCAGUGUCGUAGUAUUGGUGUUCUGUCUCCAGUAGUUACCAGUGUAGUAGUAUUGGUGUUCUGUCUCCAGUAGUUACCAGUGUAGUGGUGUUCUGUCUCCAGUAGUUACCAGUGUAGUAGUAGUGGUGUUCUGUCUCCAGUAGUUACCAGUGUAGUGGU
ensembl:lncRNA